rnacentral:rRNA from 1 species
UCAUAGAAGUAAAUUGAAUAUUUUUUACCAGAGUACUAAGAACAAAAAAUUUAAAACUCAAAGGGCUUGGCGGUGUUUUAGACUACUUAGGGGAACCUGUCUCAUAAUCGACAAUCCACGUUAGACCUAACCUUAUCUUGCAUUCAGUUUGUAUACCGUCGUCGCCGGGUAACUUUUAAGAUAUAAACAGUUAGCUAGCAAAUUUUUAAAUUAAGACGUCAGAUCAAGGUGCAGCUAACGAAAAGGUGCGGAUGGGUUACAAUUAUAUACUAGUAACAACGGAUAAUAAGCUUUAAAGGUAAUUAGUAAGGAGGACUUAAAAGUAAAAUAAAUUAUAUAAACAUUUUGAAUAAAGCUCUGAAACGUGC